GGUUGCAAUCCUCUUCUUGUUAAUUCUUACAAUAUGGAGGUGAUUGAAGUAAUGAAAAAUGGAGGACAUUCGGCGGGAGCGGCGGCAACAGUGUUUGAUGAUUGCUAUUUCAUAGCUUGUGAUUUCCCGCUUGUUAGAUUUGAACAUUAUAAUAGGGAAGCAAAUAAGGUGGCUCAUGAUAUUGCUAGGCUAGCAAAAAUUUCAGUCACUACGGACUGGUUUGAGGAUCCUAUGAGGGACACUGUUCAUUUACUUAUUGACGAUGUAAAAAAUAUUUCUAAUUAA
rnacentral:rRNA from 1 species